rnacentral:lncRNA from 1 species
UUCUUUAUUGCUUUUCUCAUCUUUUCUUUAUCGUUUUUCUUUGUUGUUUUUAGAUAGUUUGUUUAUUUUCAUUGCCCUUUAGUUAUUUAUUUUGCUUUUUAGUUUAAGUGUCUUAGAUAAUGCAUGAGUCUGACGAGUCACCAAAUAUAGUGUAUCUUUAGUACAAUCUAAUCUCCCCAUACCUUUAGCCCCACCGAAAUUUUUUUGCAAAAGAAAACAGUGUUAUUCCGAAAGUUUUCGGGUUUUAAAGAUAGGUAUUGAGUAAGGAUGCGGUGACUUGGGAGAACUUUG